AAUAAGGACAGCACGCAUGUGCCGUCAACCCGGAUGCAGAUAUUGUGUGCGUCUGUUUCCCCCAAUCCUGUGAAGUUACGAGCAGAUUAUUACAGAAUUAGUAAAAAACCAGCACAUUCUAACAAACGCUCAGCAGAAAUAGGGUCAAUGUGCCGUGAUGCAACACCAGAAUGACAACACCACAUCAAUAGUGUUUUGAAGAGCUGCACUUUUGUUCUAAGAAUACAACUUAGAUGCAUUAUGGACUUCCGCACCAGGAGGUAUGAAAGAGGUAGCAACUGGACCGACCCGGAGAUCGUGGAGCUCCUGCAGCUCUGGUCUGACGAGUCGGUGCAGAUCGAGCUGGAGAGCUCUCUGCGCAACCAGCGCGUGUUUGACCGCAUCGCGCACAUUCUGCGGGAAAAGGGCAUCUACCGCUCAGGCGACCAAUGUAGGGAAAAGAUCAAGAAGAUGAAGCUGGAGUAUAGGCGAAUUAAAGACAACCACAAGAUGAGGACUUGGAAGUUUUAUGACGUGAUGGACAGAGUGUUGGCGAAUCGCCCGGCUGUCAGCUACUCCUCUUUGGGAGGAGCUGUUGUUGCUCAGCAGGUGUUCCAGGGCUCAGGUGGCUCUGAGGCAUAUCUGCAGGGGGUCCCUGUCGGUUCGUUUGGCCCCUCAUCCUCAGGUGGGUUUCUGUUCGGCCAGCCACCUAAAGCUGAAGAUUCACUGGAUAUAAAAUGUGAAGAUGCUGAGGAGAGCAUGCUGAACUCUGGGGUUGCACCACCAGAGAUGUACUAUGUCUGCGGGGAUGAUCGGGAAACAGAUGGACAGUCUCUACUGGAAGCAGAGGACACACUGGGUCAAGCUGAAGCCUCGACUAAUACAAGAGUCUCCCCCUCAGGUUUCAGUGAGAGGACCGCUGCUGCUUCUGCAACAUCUGCCACUCAGAUUGGUCCUGUGAUGCAAGAAACAUCUGAGCAGCUCAACAGGGAGGUUCCUCAUGGGUCAGGUUGUGUGAAACAGAGGAAGCGUAGGCGGGGUGGCAGAGCUUCAUGUGGCAAAUCAGGUGGUCGGGAGAGCCUGGACAAGGCUCUGGUCAGUUUCCUGAACUGGCAGAAGUCUGCCGAGGAGCGCCUCCUCUCCCUGGAGGAGGCUCGACUGGAGAGAGAAUUCCAGGCAGAGGAGCGAAGGGAGCAGAGGGAGGAGAGAAGGGCAGAAAAGGAGAGGCAGCAUGAGCUCCACCUGCUCAGCAUGCUCACGGGGGCGCUGUUCACCACCAGACAAGGUUCCUCAGCUACCGUGACAUCCAAUCCGCCUGUCUCACCUCUGGCUCAUCUGGCUACUCCUCCCGUGGCCUCAGUCGGCCCCACUGUCUCGUCAUCUUUAGCUCAGCCUCCCCCAGAGGCGCCCGUAGCACAGCCUGUCCACACUCAGGAGACAAAAAAGUCCCAGCCCACAUCUGUCAAGACCUGCCAAGUGUCACAGGAGGUUUUAGGAACACUGAGAGGUUCAGAGGCUCCUGGCCACAGCAUUUAUCUGUCCAGUCGCGGUAACAGCAUUAGACAGCAUCAAGGCAUUCUCCAAGAGGGCUUUAUGCAGUAUGCAAUGGACAAAUAUCACCAAACAGACAAUCCUGAUGGUAUAGUCAACUUGGGAACCAGUGAGAACAAACUGUGCUAUGAUCUCCUUUAUAAAAGAUUAACUAAGCCUGACAUGUUGCACGUGGAGCCCUCCCUGUUGCAGUAUUCCAGCUGGAUUGGGCACACUUUUCUUAGAGAAGAAGUUGCAAAGUUCCUGUCUCACUACUGCUGCUCUCCCAAGCCACUGAGAGCUGAUAAUGUUGUGGUGAUGAACGGCUGUGGUUCGCUCUUCUCAUGUAUUGCUGCUGUAAUUUGUGAUCCUCAAGAUGCCAUUCUUAUUCCUACUCCUUUCUAUGGAGUCAUAACCGAAGAUCUGAAUUUGUACAGUGCUGUAAAACUCUUCCAUAUUCCUCUGGAUUGUGAGGCUGAUGGCAAAGACAGCAGACCCUUUCACCUCACCGUCGGGAAACUGGAAGCAGGGCUGAGAAAGGCUAAGCAAGAGGGGAAGAACAUCCGAGCCCUUAUUCUCAUGAACCCUCACAAUCCUCUGGCUGAGAUCUACACUCCAAAGGAAAUGAUUGCCUUCUUAGAGUUUGCUAAAAGAAAUGAGCUGCACGCCAUUGUAGAUGAGGUGUACAUGCUGACGGUCUUUGAUGAGUCUGUCACCUUUCACAGUGUCCUCAGCAUUGAGAGUUUGCCCGACCCACAGAGGACGCAUGUGAUGUGGGGGAUGAGCAAGGAUUUUGCAAUGGCAGGAAUCAGGAUUGGUACUUUAUAUACUGUGAACGCAGAUCUUGUGGAGGCUUUGGCUCAGCUGGGCUCCUUCCACGGUCUCCCUGGAACCUUGCAGCACCAGGUGGCUCAGCUGCUCCGGGACAGAGACUGGAUCAACAACGGGUUUAUACCUGAGAACCGUUGCAGGCUAAAAAGUUCUCACAGUCUUCUUACCAGAGAGCUGCAAAGCAUUGGCAUCCCCUUCCUGGACAGACCUGCUGGCCUUUAUGUUUGGGCUGACUUUAGGAAGUAUCUGAGCGAGUCAUCAUUUGAGGCAGAGUUGGCUCUUUGGAGGCGUUUUCUCAGACACAAAGUGUUGUUGAGCUGCGGCCAAGCGUUUUCAUGCUCUACACCUGGAUGGUUCCGGAUCGUCUUUGCAGACCAGCAGCCCCAACUUCAGCUCGGCCUAAAGCGAAUUCAGGAGACUUUGAAAGAAACCCAUGGAAAAAGUAUCACCUCAGAUACACCCUCUUUUAAAGGAAUUGUUGAUGGGAGUAAAAAAACUGUAAAAGAGGAGAGCGACGAGUCAGACAACGCUGCGAUUGUUAAUUCCACAUCCUCGCCCCAGAGCAAGUCAUCAGACCAGCUGAAAGAGAGGGAUAGCCCUGUUCCUGACACAGGCUCGCUUGGCGCAGAGGAGUUUGUUUUGCUGGACUGCCAAGGAUCUAAGCCUGCAGAGAGUCUGGACUCACUUAUUGGUACUCUAAGGCAGCAGAUUCGUUCCUCUGAUUGGCUGGAAAAGAACACUCCAGUGCUGUCUCAUGGAGAGGACCCAGAAAUUCUUGAUGUAUUCAAGUCCCUGCUGCAAAGAGCCAAAAAUGAGCCGAUGACAUCCCCCCACACACACUUUCUAAGUGACAAAGGCAAAAACCAAGGUGCUUUUUCAAAGUUCAAAGUUUCACUUUGUGUAAGUCAUUUUUUUUACUUCUCUAAAAUGCAUAAUUCCAUUACUGUCAUUUUUUUAUGAUAGCAAACAGAUUUCUGCUUCUUUAAAUAGCAGCUUUCACUUUCUUUUAAGUGAACCUCAGUGGAGUGUAUGGGGGGGAAAGUUCCUGACUGACGAGGGGGGAGUUUCCAUUGCAGAGGAGGUGGAGUCACACCACAGGGUUUUAUCUCAGAGGGCUUGUGGUCAUAAGCAGUAUAAAAUAUUAUGUCCACGUGUCUGAAGGUGUUUUUUGUAGAUGCAGUAGCAGAUGCCUUUCUAUCACCAAACAAGUGAGGCAAAAUAAUGAAGUUUGUCAAGCUGGGAAACACCAUCGACCGCUUCAGGUUGGCCCAGUCUUGUUUAGGACUAACAGGUUGCCUGUUUGUGUGCAUCUCUGUCUGCACUCCCUACUGGCUAAAAAACAGGGGAUUAUGGACAAAUUGGAACAACACCAGCAGCAAAGAGGACGGUACAACAGAGGAUACAACCUUCAACGCCUUAGAGGCAGAGAGAGUAUUUGGAGUCAUUUCAUUUGUGAUGGCUGUGAGCACUGCAGCUCUCUGCCUGCUGUUUGCCCUCUGCUGGACAUCUCAGACAGUGCUCUCCUACUCCAACACCCGCUCUCUCCUCAUGGCAGGGCAGGCUCUCUACCCCACCACUUUGCUGCUCCUCACCAUGGCCUCCACAGGUUUCUUCUUCCUCCUUAGCUGGUCUUUCUUCACCUACCAACACAAGGAGGAAAUCCGUCAGGAAUUCUCCAGCCUUGGCUUUUCAUACUGGCUGGGGGCUUUAGGGUGGUUCCUUCUGUUGGUGGUGGAGGCGGCAGUCUUUAUCGCAGAGCAAGCAGUGGUGCCGGACGUUAUUCCAGAUAUAGAGAAGGCCGUCAAUUCUUUGCGGACUUCUGAUCAACCUGGGGUUGCUAAAAAGGCUUUGAGUGACGGUUAUAAACCUGUUAACUACAAAAGUAAUAUUCCUAAGAGGUACACAUCAGUGAUUUAAAUGAACUUCAUAUAGGAUGUGAUAGAGGUUCUAGACAGCUAGAUGAAGGGCUGUCAGGUGCAGGCUGUUUUCAGUAUGGACUGAAAUAAACUCCAAGUACACUAUGGAAAAACUAUGUCAAAGAAAGGUGAUAUUGUAUAUUAGACUACAAGGUUCUGAAGUUCCCAAGUUUUGCCUGGAACGGAUCCAUGAGUCUAUUAGCUUCAAGUCUGAAAAGAAAAUCAAUGUAAACAAAACACUGUCUUAAAAUUCAGCCUCUGUCUGAAAGUAUCCAUCACUGCUGCAAUGUACUUUAAGAGCAUUAAAUUAAUGCCAUCUUGUUAAGAAGUGUAACACUCUAUUUUGUAUAAGCACUUUUAAUCUGGUGCAAAGAAUUUUAGUUGGUUCAAGAAAACGGUGCUUAAUUUAUCAUGUAUGGAAUGUGGGCUGUGUCACUAUGUUUUUUUUUUAUUAAAAAAAUACAAAAUCUGA